GGAGAAAAUAUUUAGGGAAGAGAUUUGAAAGAGAUUACAAGAAAAAUCUUCCAUAAGCACAAAAGGGCCAUUCAAAGUAAAAUAGAGAGAAGAAGAGCAUCCAAGUGAAUCCCAAAGCUUUCUCUCCAUCCGUGUGCUGCCUCGGAGAUCCUCUACUUUGUGCAAAAUCAGAAGAGGGGGCAAGUGAAGAAGAAGCCGAGUUCCUCCAUCUACAAAUUAGUUUGAGGGCUUCUUCUCUUUUCUUUACUUAUUUACAUUUGCUAUAUUUGCUUAUUUGAGAAGCUUGUAUUUGAUUUAAACUCUUGUUCUAAUAUCUUGUAACUUGAUUCAAUCAAGGGAUUGAAUCAAGGGGUUAAGGUUUGUUGGUGAGCCAAAGGGAAAAACCAACGUUGUAAGGUUGUGGUUGGUGAGCCUUUGGGGAAAACCAACCGGGUUGAUUGUG
rnacentral:lncRNA from 1 species